rnacentral:rRNA from 1 species
UACGUAGGGGGCAAGCGUUAUCCGGAUUUACUGGGUGUAAAGGGAGCGUAGACGGCAUGGCAAGCCAGAUGUGAAAUACCGGGGCUCAACCCCGGGACUGCAUUUGGAACUGUUAAGCUGGAGUGUCGGAGAGGCAGGCGGAAUUCCUGGUGUAGCGGUGAAAUGCGUAGAUAUCAGGAGGAACACCGGCGGCGAAGGCGGCUUACUGGACUGUAACUGACGUUGAGGCUCGAAGGCGUGGGGAGCAAACAGG